CGCCGCCUACGGGGCGCAGCAGUAGGGAAUCUUCCACAAUGGGCGAAAGCCUGAUGGAGCAACGCCGCGUGGGUGAAGAAGGUGUUCGGAUCGUAAAUCCCUGUUGUUAGAGAAGAAAGUGCGUGAGAGUAACUGUUCACGUUUCGACGGUAUCUAACCAGAAAGCCACGGCUAACUACGUGCCAGCAGCCGCGGUAAUACGUAGGUGGCAAGCGUUAUCCGGAUUUAUUGGGCGUAAAGAGAACGCAGGCGGUCUUUUAAGUCUGAUGUGAAAGCCUUCGGCUUAACCGGAGUAG
rnacentral:rRNA from 1 species